rnacentral:rRNA from 1 species
CCCUUAGAUGUUCUGGGCCGCACGCGUGCUACACUGAGUGGAUCAGCGGGUCAGGUUGCGCGAAAGUGUUUCCUAAUCUUUAAAUCCGCUCGUGAUGGGGAUUGACGGUUGCAAUUUUCCGUCAUGAACGAGGAAUACCUUGUAAGCGCGGGUCAUCAUCCCGCGCUGAAUACGUCCCUGCCCUUUGUACACACCGCCCGUCGCUCCUACCGAUUGAGUGGUCCGGUGAGGCUUUGGGAUCUGAGCGGAAAGAGCGUUUCGCUGUUUCUGCCCGGAAAACUCAGUCGAACCUUAUCAUUUAGAGGAAGGAUAAGUCGUAACA